GUGCUCAUUUCGGGAGCACAUAUACUAAAAUUGGGAUGAUACAGAUAAGAUUAGCAUGGCCCCUACACAAGGAUGACAUGAAAAUCCAUGAAGUGUUCCAUAUUUUA